rnacentral:rRNA from 1 species
GAUGAACGCCGGCGGCGUGCUUAACACAUGCAAGUCGAACGGAAAGGCCUGUACUUGUACAGGUACUCGAGUGGCGAACGGGUGAGUAACACGUGGGUGAUCUGCCCUGCACUGUGGGAUAAGCCCGGGAAACUGGGUCUAAUACCAUAUAGGACCACUUUUUGGAUGUUGUGGUGGAAAGCUUUUGCGGUGUGGGAUGAGCCUGCGGCCUAUCAGCUUGUUGGUGGGGUAAUGGCCUACCAAGGCGGCGACGGGUAUCCGGCCUGAGAGGGUGUACGGACACAUUGGGACUGAGAUACGGCCCAGACUCCUACGGGAGGCAGCAGUGGGGAAUAUUGUACAAUGGGCGCAAGCCUGAUGCAGCGACGCCGCGUGGGGGAUGACGGCCUUCGGGUUGUAAACUCCUUUCGCUAUCGACGAAGCCACCUUGGGUGGUGACGGUAGGUAGAUAAGAAGCACCGGCUAACUACGUGCCAGCAGCCGCGGUAA